UUAGACUCCAAGCUUGGCUGUACCUCCUCAUUGAGACCCAGCCCUGCCAGGAACCAGGGGCGUGAGUAAGACCUCCUUUCCUAUACAGACAAGGAUGCCAGUUCAACACGUAGGCAAGACCUUAAAACAAACGCAUCCAUGCAUUGCAAGCCAUGCUCUACGAUGCUUACCUUUGCUGAGGCCCUUGUCCUUGACAAUGGCCCCAACGCCAGAGAGAAGUAGAAAGCCCAGAGCCAAGGUUCGAACAGUCCGCCACACUUGAACUCUAAAACGUCCUUCGAACGUGACCAUGUGGAUUGGCGCACUGGGAGAGCCCAAAAUUCCAUCUUUCGUGGCUGUUCCUACUGCUGGAAACGCCGAAGACAUGAUCGGUCGCGCCUCAGCUUGAAAACUUCCUAGCGAUGCAGUUGCUCCUACACGGUUUAAAAGAAAAAAGGAGGAUCAGAUCUGAUAAAGAAAGAGUUACAGCGUUUACCUCUUUGCAGCGUUUUCAACAAGGCACUGUCAUCGAGCCUAUCGACCUUGACGAGAGCUUUGAGAUAGCAUCAAGCAAUUGAACCAACUGCUGCUCUAGAGUCAAAGGAGGAGAUUGCGGAUCAGCCAUGAAGAUGAAUGAAAAAAGAAAGAGCAAAGGAAGAGAAAUGACAAAAAGCUGGAAAGAAAUGGUAGAUCUAGACAAUGCAAAAAGCUAGAUCUAAACCAAAAUCCUAAAAGGAAAGAACAGAAGAAAAGAAAUGGAAAAAGCUAGAUCUAGACAAUGCAAAAGCUAAAUCUAAACCGAAAUCCCAAAUCCAAGCACUCCCCAGGGACAAUCAAAGGUGCCCCUCACCUCCACCAAUGUGAGUGCAUGGAAUAUAGAAAGGGAAUACAGAAAUGUGCAUAUCAAUUAGCCCAAAAACCUUAGCUUAUAUACAGGAGCGAGUGGUCCGAAUUGAAACCAAUCCGACGGUUACCAAAAUCCCACUAUGCUAAUAUUAGUAUACGGCAUCGUAGCUGUACACUUGGCCCUCACACCUCAAUUUUAAAAAAUUAAAAAUAUAAUAGCAUUUUGAUCCACAUUUUCUUCUAUAUAACCUAGAGUUUUGGACUAAUAUAAAUAUACAUAUUAUACAUAGGAGAUGAAGGGCAAUGUUAAGAGUAAUUGGAUUUAUUUAUUUAUUUUUAUUUAACUUUUGCAUUGUUUAGAUUUCUUUUGUUCUUGUAAAUGUUCCAUUUCUUUUUUAUUGCUCUCUUUCAUCAAGAGGUUCAUUUAAUACCUAUUUAACCACUUUCUAAGUUUUUUUUAUAAUAAAAGGUCUAUCCUUUUUUGUAUUUCCUUAUACGAAUUUAAACUUAUCUUUCAUUGCUCUGUCUGUUACCAUAUCUUAUUCUCUACAUUUGCAUCAUAUGGUAAAGCUAGUUUUCACUCUCUAUAACAACAACCAUAUGCAUAUGUAUAGCAUAAAACAAAUUUAGUUGUGUGAUCAUAAACUUGAGUUUAAAUUGUUAUGGAUAGUGCUAAAUCAAAAUUUUAUUACAUGAUUUUUUCAUUUGAAUAAUACUUUUGCAACUUUCCAGUGGAUAAUAGAUAAAUUUCUUUACAAUAUGCUAAAAAUAACUACUAACAUUAUUAUUGAUACUUUGAUCCACUCAAAAGGGACAUAAUAAGAGUAUAUAUGUCUAUAAUAUCCAAAAGGUGUUAAAUUAAUUGUGUCAAAUUGAUUUGAAACUAAAGUAGUCUAAUUGCUUGUUUGGAUCCCAAGAUUUAUCUUGGGUAUUGCAUUUCUCACAAAGACAUAUAAGUUGAUCUUGAUAGACUUAUAAUUGAAUUUGAUAGUUAGAAUCAAUUAUAAUUUCCCAUUUAUUUGUGCUAAUAGUGUUUUACUUAAUAAGGCUUUUUUGUGGUUGACUACUGCUAAUCCAACUAUUUAACCCAUUAGUAGAAGUUGCAUUUGUAUUUGUUGUUAGAUAUUUUUUGUCAAAUGGUGUUCCAAAGAGAGUGGAUCAAAUAAUGAUCCCACACAUAUGGUUGAAGCAUUUUACAUCUUAAUAUCUCAACUAAGGAGACACUACAUCAUUGUGUGUUAAUAAUUAAUAAAAUGAUGGUUUCAUGGAAUAAAUCAUUAUGACCUUCAAAGGGAUGAUUGCAAAAUAUAUAAAAUUUCAAUAUUUAAAUUGGGAUGCUUAUUUAUUAUCUUUCUAGCUUGUAUAUAUAUUAUAGGUAUACUCAUAAAUUUGUAUUGCUAAUAUAGUUAUUUUAUAUUUACAAUUGCCACAAGUUGAUAAUGUUAGGUUUUGGGAUUAGUAUUUAACAAGCAUUUUUCCAUUGGUCCAAGUGAAGUUUUUAAACACUUAAACUACAUAUAAAUUUCUAUUGUAUUUGAGUAGAAAGUGGUCCAAAUUGAAUCCAAUCCAGUAUUUAUUAAAGUUUCACUACAUUCAUGAUAAUAUACAAUAAUAUAACUCCUUUCAGAAGGAUAGUCAAUACUAGAAGAAUAUAAAGAGAAGGCACUAGUGCAUCCAUAGAUAAUAUAAUUUAUUCAUGAUCCUUUUGUAAAGUGCUUUAAUUGUUACAUAUAUAUAAUUUCUGAAAGAUUGGUUUCCUGAAUGUCAUGUUGAAUCUUAUUAACUUAUAACUCAACUUGUUAUAAUACUUGAUAAUCCAAGUGCUUUAAUUGUUACAUAUAUAUAAUUUAUGAAAGAUUGGUUUCCUGAAUGUCAUGUUGAAUAUUAUAAACUUAUAACUCAACUUGUUAUAAUACUUGAUAAUCCCUUCCAUUGGGCAAAAAACCUUUUAAACAGACUAUGUAUUAUAAGAUUGGGAAGAAUGCUAUAAGUUAAAUAACAAAAUGUUUGAAAACAGAUAUUACUUUAAAAUAUUUUAUGUGAAGUUAAACUAAUUGAAUUAAAUCUUUAAAAUGUUUAUAAUAACUAGAUAAUAAUCCUUAUAAGAAACUAAUAUAAUUAUCCAGACUUUUAUGAAUAUACACAUCUUUAAUUUUUAAAGUAUAUAUGGGAUUUUGUUAAGCUGUAUAUAUAAUAUUUUGUAUAUAAUGAUUUAUUUUUACCAAAAAGUGAUAUAAAUAUCUCUGAGUUAAUUUUAAAGUCAGAAGUAUAGUUUAUUUUGACAGUUUAAAUAUUAGAUUUAUUAAUAAAUUUCUCUUAUAAAAACUUCAUUAUUAAUUUUUAUUUUAUAAAAUUAAAAUGUUGAGCAGAUCAUGAAAAUCAACAUGUAAUUUAUUUCAUAUGGUAUGCAUGUACUUUAAAAAUAUUUACAAGAUUGUAUUUGAACAAUGUUUCUAUCUUAGUAAGACAUCAUUAAAAAUUUGCCAUGAGAGCUGGAUUCCUUGCUAGUUAAUUAAUAUAUUUUUGAAAAAUUAUGGUAUAAAAUUGAACUGGAAACUUCGGCUUGCCGUGUUUUCAUUUUUUAAUCAUACAUUUAUAUUAGUAAAACAGGGUUAUAAGAUUUUAGAAGGGGGGAGUUUUUUUUCUGGGGUGGAGAAAUUUCCAGGUAAGGGACACAUGGAACCCCACCCUAACACAAGAUAUUAGCUUAUUCUAAAUUCUUAUCUAACUAAUCCUUAGCACUUCAUUGCAGAGAAUAGAUCUAGUGCAACCUCUCUAUUGCCACACUACAGUUGGGAACUUGAAAAUUUAGUUUUGCAAUUGUGUAGGGAGAAUAUACUUAGAUUAUAUAGCUACAUUACAGAAGUUCCUCCUAGCAAAUAGACUAAUGACAUCAGCUCUCUAAUGUAAAAGCCUUUUCUUUCUAUCUACCAAUCUCAAGUGGCAAUUAUAGAAGCCAGCAAUUCCAUCUCUAAGAUAAAGAGGGUAAUGAGUUGCACUCCAUUGCUUUCAAGAACAAUAUUAGCAAAGAUCAUUACAUGUCUAGGGUGGAAGCUAUGGAGUACAUGUUGAGCUAUGCCCAAGUAGAAAAAGAGGAUGCAUGACAUUAAGGAUGCAAAAGUAGAUCCUAUGAAGUUUUUGAAACUUUAAAUUUGUUUAAAUAGAGAACAAAAGAAUUCACCUAUCUAUACAAAAUAGAAGCACUUACAAAGAACAUAAACAAUUGGAGUUUAUGUAAAUGCUGCAUGGAGGCAUUUGCAUAGAAGCUACAUAUGACUGUCAAUAUACUCAAAUAUGGAUCAAACUCCCAAUUUUAUGUAUUUUUGCUCUCAACUAAUGUGAAUAAACAACCUUACUCCUCAAUAGUGUGGCUUGUUCACCUUUGUAUAAAAAAGGGGUGUAUUUCUAUAUUUAGAGCCUACUUAUCAUUUCUAAAAAUACCUAAAACACAUUUCUUUAUUAAGUAGUAUAUCUAUAUAUUUGUUCUACAAAUAAAAUUGAGAUAUAAAAUGAAAACUCAAUCUAAUGAGUGGUGCUCAUAAUGUUAAUUCAUGCUUAUAAACAAAAUAAAUUACCCCAUUAAAAUUACCUUUUCGUCUUCUUUUUUUUAGUAUUGUAGUGAUUACCACUAUAUGCUAUGCAUGCUUGUCUAGUCAUUUACAAAUUUGAUGAUGUGUGUAGCAGCCAGAAGUAAAAGCCACAAUCAUAUAGUCAACUUGCAAGAAUUUAUAAAUGAAAAAUACUUUUAAAACUAUAGGGAAAAUGUAAUGCAUGUGGUUUUGACCCUUUAUCCUAUGGUGAUUUACCAUAGGAUAACACCAAAAAGCGGAACCUAAACCUUCUUUAUGCCAUAUGACACAUGCCAGACGCAGAACAAGGACAGACACACAAGCAGGAGCUUCAGGUUGGUUAGCCAUGCUCAACUUACCCACUAUCCCUAAUAUACAUUUGGAACCCCCCCGUAGCCCAACCACCCACCCCCCCUUAAGGAACACAUGCUUUGGGCUUUCACCUUAAGCCUCCCUCAGUAUCAGGAGUUAGUAUCUGGGACAAACUUGAAACUGUAAGCAACCAAAGGGAACGACUUGAGAGACGGUCCAUGGGGUUCAAAUAUAGAGGGAAAGGGCCCAUGAAUAAGAGUGCACCCCCUUUUCCAAUUGGUUAAGGGUCUUGGGAUAGUUGAAGUUAAGCGUCCUUGGGUUUGAAUAGUACUGGGUUGGGUGACCUCUCGGGAAGUCUAAAUUCAGGAGCUUACAUUUGGUAUCAGAGGGGUCUCGAGUCCGACUCUUUUGGUUGGCUAGGGGAAUCACACCACAUGGUCCGACUCUUUUGGUUGGCUAAGGGAAUCACACCACAUGUUGAUUGACAUCUGGUUGGUCCAGUUUGCUCCCGCUGGGCUUGACCCAAGGGGUAGGGUGUCAAGAGAGCGAGGCUCUCGAGAGAGCUGCGGCUCUCAGCUUCCGUUCACGAGGGCGUGAACUUGCAGGGAAGCGUGGUGGAUUGUAAGCAACCAAAGGGAACGACUUGAGAGACGGUCUAUGGGGUUUAAAUAUAGAGGGAAAGGGCUCAUGAAUAAGAGUGCACCCCCUUUUUCAAUCGGUUAAGGGUCUUGGGAUAGUUGGAGUUAAGCGUCCUUGGGUUUGAAUAGUACUGGGUUGGGUGACCUCUCGGGAAGUCUAAAUUCAGGAGCUUACAGAAAUUUACUAAAUAUAAAAUGACACUAGACAUGGGACGAGUUUAUGUGUUGUGGGUGCUUUACAUAACCCACAACACAUUUAAUAAAAAAAAUAAUUAUGAAAAAGAAAGAUUCAUAAAAGUUGCAAUGGAAGAACACUACAACCCAUAUAACAAGAGACUAAACUUAUACGUUUAUGUAACAAGAACGUUAAUGUGACCUCUAGGUAGGUGUUCAAAUAGCUAAAGCAUCUUCUUUCACUAUAAAACUUGUGCCAGAAAACGUGUUGCUAUCUAUACAAGAAAAAUCAAAGUUCAAGAGAAGAGAAGAAAAAUAAGAGAUAAAAAAAUGAGAAAAAACAAAAAAAGAAAAGCAAGGUGUUUAUACAUAAAUGGAUGUUCUCUAACUGGAUGUCUGGAUUUGGAACCACCACAUGCCGAUCGAACUGACCAGGACGGAUAAGCGCCUUGUCGAGAGAUUCGGGGAAGUUCGUAGCCGCGAUCACUAUGAUGCCUUCGUUUUGCUUGAAACCGUUCAGCUCCACCAGCAUGUACUGUUGGUCCUUGGGAUUUCAGCUCCCACCUAUUGCAUCAAUUUCGUCCAUGAAGAUUAUGCAUGGCGAGUGCUUGCGAAUAAGUCCCGCACUUGCCGAGCACCACAUCCGACGAACACUUCCUCGAACUCGCUCCCGCUGCAAUAGAAAAACGGUACCCCUGCUUCACCAGCAGUUGCCCGAGCCAGCAUCGUCUUUCCAGUCGCUGCAUUGCAAGCCAUGCUCUACGAUGCUUACCUUUGCUGAGGCCCUUAUAAUGGCCCCAACGCCAGAGAGAAGGAGAAAGCCCAGAGCCAAGGUUCGAACAGUCCGCCACACUUGAACUCUAAAACCUCCUUCGGACGUGACCAUGUGGAUUGGCGCACUGGGAGAGCCCAAAAUUCCGUC
rnacentral:lncRNA from 1 species